rnacentral:lncRNA from 1 species
AAUUCAGUUUAGGGUUUAAAACCCUAAUGCUGACUAAGGGAAAGAGUUCAGUUUAGGGUUUAAAACCCUAAUACUAACUAAAAGAAAGAGUUCAGUUUAGGGUUUGAAACCCUAAUGCUGACUAAAGGAAAAAAGUUCAGUUUAGGGUUUAAAACCCUAAUGUUGACUGAAGGAAAGAGUUCAGUUUAGGGUUUAAAACCCUAAUGCUGACUAAGGGAAAGAGUUCAGUUUAGGGUUUAAAACCCUAAUGCUGACUGAAGGAAAGAGUUCAAUUCAGGGUUUAAAACCCUAAUGCUGACUAAAGGAAAGAGUUCAGUUUAGGGUUUAAAACCCUAAUCCUGAUUGAAAGAAAAGGGUUCGAGGAUACUAACU